UGCCUAAUCUACCUUUGCCUCGCUUCUUCCGUGAGUCCCUUCUUCUCUUUAUAUAAAACCUCAUUUGGGUUCUGAGUUUCUGACACACGACUGAGCUUAAUAUUUGGUGAUCCUUAUUCCAUGGAGCUCAUGAAGCACUCUACCAUCCUCACCAUCUUUCUUCUUCUCCUGCUUACAACACCUUACUUGGCAACAGGUGGAGAAGUAUCAGCAGAGAUGGUGGAUAGUACUACUGAGGUUUAUGAAAUCGAUUACAGAGGCCCAGAGACUCACUCCUCAAUUCCACCUCCUGGUCACUUUCAUGGGAAGAAGAAGCCUUUGCCUAAUGUGAUCCACAAUGACAGCGUCGUCAUUGGGAGUAAGAACAGCGGUGGCAAUUACAACAUGGGAAGAAAGGCGAAGAAUAUACAUGGAUGAUCAAUACUAUAUCUAUAAAUGUAUAUGUUAAUGUUCACCAGAUUAUGGUUCAUUUUAGAACAGAGAUAUGAAGAAAAUGUACUGAGAUUCAUCAUGAAUUUAUAGUUAUGAUGGAAUAACAAUCUUUAGUUUGCUAGUAUUAUGUCCCAUGUGUCUUCCUAGCUAGUGGAAUUAGUAUUCUUUAAUCAUGCUCUGAUAGUUUGCUUGGAAUCUUAAAAGUUCUAUUGUGCUAGCUCUGGAGUGGAGU